CUGGCUCCCCCCAAAAUAAGAAUAGAGCGAGAGAAUAAGCCUUCCGGGAGAAUUAGGAGCCCGCCCGCUCGGCCACCGUCUCGGGGCGGCAGCGAGGGGCUCCCGGGGGCCCCCGGUGCGUGCUGGCGGGGCCCGGGGCGCCCGGAGGACGCGGGCUCCGGCCCAUGGUGCUCGUCCGGCCGCCCGGCCGCCCGGCGUGGCGCUCGCUCUCUCGCUCGGCCCGGCUCGCGCGCUGGGCUCGCGGCAGGCCUGGCGCCGCCCGCCCGCCCGCCCGCCCGCCGGCUCGGCCCGAGCCGGGGCCGGGGCCGGGCCGGGGGCCCGGGGGCCCGGGGGCCCGGGGGCCCGGGCCGGGGGCUCGGGCCGCCCGGCUGCCGCCCGCGGCCUCUCCCUCCCCGAGCCGCGCUUACAUCCCCGCCGGGCGCCGGCCUCCCUGCGCCGCCAGCCAGUACAUGGUGUCCCCCGCGGGAGCCGAGGCCGGGGCGGCCGGACGGGGGGCCGGGAGGGGGGGGCGCCGCCGCCGCGGCUGCCGGGCCCGGAGCUGCUGCUGCCGCCGCCGCUGCCGCUGCUGCUGCUGCUGCUGCCCGGGAGGCGGCUGGCGGCGGAGGCUCGGCUCCCAGUAGCCGCACAUCCCACAAUACACCGCUAAGGAGCCCGACCCGAGCGCUCACCCUCCUCCUCUUCCUCCUCCUCCUCCUCUUCCUCCUCCCCUCUCCUUCCUCGCCGCUUCCCCAGGCACUCUCCCGGCGGCGGCAGCUGCGCCGCCAAAGCCCCGGGCCCCAGCGGCCCCCCACCCCUCACUCGCGCGCUCCCACACUGCCUCCCCCCUCCCCGGGGGAAGGCCUUUUAAUUUAUUUAUUCUGCUGGGACUUAGGUGGGGGGCUUGGCUGGCGGGGGAGGGGGGUCUCCUCCGGCUCUACCUCCCGCGGCUGGGGCUACCCUCCGAGCCGCGGUCGCCGCGGCGUGCGCCUGGGGCCUCCAAAACUGUUUCCAAACUGCCAAGACCGGAGGUGGGCGCGUGGGGGACCGGGGGAAAGGGCUGGGCUUUUUUUUGGGGGGGGGGGGGAUUGUGUGUUUAGACGCUGGGAACCGUGGGGGUAG
rnacentral:lncRNA from 1 species